GCAAGGUCAACUGUGCUCUGAAUUGAAGUGGGAUUGGAACAUAGAGAAUAAAUAAGACAGCACAGUGAGUUUUGAGUUACUGUCUCCAGAAUGAGCAUAUCUAGCCAGCUACAGAAAAGGCAGGAGGCAGAUACAUCUCUGCAGGUCCAUUUUGCCCCUUGAAAGCACAUCUUAUGGAUAAAAAGAAACAGUAACCUCUCUCUAUGCAGUCUGGAAGAUUUAAAAGAGUUCCGGAAACCCUGCAUGGAGCUUGUUUUCUUUCUUUGAACUCACUGAUGAGCAGAAUCAGUUGGAAAUUCCUUGUUGGAAAAGGUACAGAAGUGGUGGCAAGUCCUUUCUAGAAAAGAUCUUAGGAGGCAACUACUUGAAAAAAAAUGUGAUUUGAUAUUUACAGGAACGUGCAGGAGGCAAGGUGGUUUUCAAUAUAAAUUAGAACUGUGUCAUCACAGAAUCAGAAGCAAACUCAUUCAGCUGACUGAAAACUAAAAAUGUCACCUAACUCAAGAUACUCUUGUCUAAUCCAAACAUAUAUCCACCACUCAAUCUCUUCUUGCCAGUCACAUGAAGGUGGCAUGUUUUUAUCCUUGCAUCUGAAAGAAAAGUCUUCUGAGAGGAUUGGAACAGGAGCUCAAUCCACAGCGAUGAGCAACAGAGAAUGGAUGUUAUUUCCUUAAGUGUGUACAGAGCCCUGGAUCACUGUAGGAGAGGAGGAAGGGUGUGCUUAUUGACCACUGCCUUCUGAAUAGCAUCGGGUGGCUCACAAUGGAAUAUGAGUGUGUUUGCUCAGUUCUAGUGAGCACAUGCCAUCACCUCAAUUGGACAUAAGUGGAAGACUGAUUGACAGCCUGAGUGUUGAGCCCGAUGAGUGCUUUCUUUUAUUGGAUUUACAAGACUGUUUAUUAUGUAGUGAGUGCCACUGACAAAGUAGUAUAUUCCUGAGAAGAUGAAUUGCACACAGUAAGCCCAGGCUGAUCCUGAUGUUUCAGUAAAUUAUUG
rnacentral:lncRNA from 1 species